UUCGCCUGAUUCGAGCUCAGGUGCCCUACCCUAGUGCCCAUCUGUUCACCCUCGCUCCUCACCUAUCCUGUAGCUCAGCGGCAUGGAUUCGAGUUGUAGUGCCGCGGGGGCAAGUCGCCAUGACACAAGCUUGGGAGAGCACUUCGUCACCUACCUUGACACAAGCUUGGAGCAACAACAAACUUGCUAUUGUGUCUGAAGCGUAUUAUUCAUCAACAUGAAAAACUGAAACUGACACCAACGGGCAGGCUGCCGUUCUUGCUGACAAUUAGGAGUGAGCAGCUACCAAUCUAUCGGAUUGCCUGUAGCUUUGUGCAGCUAAUACACUGACAGCAAGAUCGACAGUGAAAACGAGUUCGUACCUUACACAAACACAUCAAUUGAUCCGUGCAAGUCUGUGUCACCAAUCACGAACCCACCAAGUAUCAGUGAUCAGCCAGUAGCAGUGCACCCAAAUAGUUUGAUUGGAUGGAACUCGCUAUCCGUCUGCAGGAUACCGAGCUCAUCACCUAGAUUGCUACUGCUAGCUUACUGAGAAAAUGAGAUCCUGGAAGUUAAUGCUGCUGUUGAUGAACUAUCAUCAGACUGGUGCAGAAGCAAGUCAUCGCAGAGCAGGAGGCAAAUGAAGUACCAAGAAACUCCACGGCAAUGCAAGAUGAGCAUUAUCAGAUUCUUCAGAAGAUCAACAAUUUGGAAAGAAUAGGCAGGGAAAUUGUACAGUUACUGAAAUUUGUAGUUGUGGCAUGUGUGUUUGCUGUGAUUGCCGUCAUUUGUGGUUUAUGUAAGAGUAUGUAAGAAUGCUUGAGAAUAUGUUAACGUUGAAUGGAAACAAACCAGACCUGUUCAAUGGCAAUGUGUGAUUUAAGCUCAAAUUGUGACAA